AUGGCCCUGCUGCACCCCGCCCCGGCUACUUCCCUCCCCACCUGCCAUCACCGCCAGAACGCCGGCGUGCUCAUCCAGCAGCCAUCCCGCCGCCGUUUCCGGCUGAACGCGCAGAGAAAGCCCGGGUCCACGUCCACGAGCCCGCGCACCGGCACGCCCUCCGGCUCGGAGUCGGACAACGUGGUCCUGAAGGCCGCCUGGUACGGCUCCGAGGCCCUCGGCAUCGCCGCGUCUUUCUUCCGGCCGCCGUCUCCGGAGGCGGACGCCGGUGCUGCAGACGACGGCACGUCGGAGUCCCAGCCCGUUGGCCGCGCGCAGGUCGCCGAGGCCAUCAAGGAUGACUUCGCGCGGUCAUACUUCGUCACAGGGAACCUCACGCUCGGGGCGUACGAAGACGACUGCGAGUUCGCCGACCCGGCGGGUUCAUUCAGAGGCCUGCAACGCUUCAAGAGGAACUGCACCAACUUCGGGUCCCUGCUGGAGAAGUCCAACAUGAAGCUGACCAAAUGGGAGGAUGUCGAGGUACAUUUCCCGCGUCAGUCAAUCGAUCUUUACAGCAGCGAAGUGGUGAGUUGUUUUCGCCGAUUGAUCGACUUUGCUGGGUCUGGGUGCAGGACAAAUCGAUCGGGCACUGGCGUUUCAGCUGCGUCAUGUCGUUCCCGUGGAGGCCCAUUCUCUCCGGUAAGUUCACGGCUACGCGCUCUGUAUCUGUAUCAGCAGACCGACACCGCGUUUGGCCCGGCCGGUGCAAAACUGCAAAAUGCAUCGCUCCUGUACUGA
rnacentral:rRNA from 1 species